UCUUUUUCAAUCUUUUCUUUGAGAUGCUUCCUUCUAGCAAUUGCUGAAACCUCACACUGAGCCGCCUCCUCUUGUGGAUCUGUUUCCGUCUUGUACCUCUCCUUUUCCAUCAUCUACAGCUCACACUGGAGAAUUCACUACUGAGAGUUAAUUGUUCUUCCUUCCUUUUCCUUCCUUUCUUGCUCAUUCCUUGCCAUUUGACCUUCCUCUACCUUUUAUUAGGAAGUAAUGUGUUGCCCACCAGUGCGUGGAGUUCAUGGAGGUAGCUGUCAGGAGUUUGCGGUGCGACCUCAAAAACAGGUAAUAGAGAUCAUCAACUGAUGCACCGUUGAAGAUCUACUCACUACCAGCUAGUUGGAAAUGUCCGAGGAGCUGCUUGAAGUUGUCCAUUGGAGAUAAAUUUUUUGAUAGCUUUAAGGAAGAUCACAUUUUCAUAUAGACAUCUAUAUUUUAUAGUAGUGGGACAUGUAUAUGAUCCAUGGGGGUGCUUAUCUAUUUGUAAUUAUUUUGAGUGUUGAUCCAUUUAUGACACCAUGGUUUGUAACUUAAAUAUGGUUGCUUGUUUUUUUGUUUAGGGGUGUGUAAAUCCAAGUCUUAUUAUACUAAAUUUAUUGUUUAAUUUGAA